GACGAACGCUGGCGGCGUGCUUAACACAUGCAAGUCGAACGGAAAGGCCCUGCUUUUGUGGGGUGCUCGAGUGGCGAACGGGUGAGUAACACGUGAGUAACCUGCCCUUGACUUUGGGAUAACUUCAGGAAACUGGGGCUAAUACCGGAUAGGAGCUCCUGCUGCAUGGUGGGGGUUGGAAAGUUUCGGCGGUUGGGGAUGGACUCGCGGCUUAUCAGCUUGUUGGUGGGGUAGUGGCUUACCAAGGCUUUGACGGGUAGCCGGCCUGAGAGGGUGACCGGCCACAUUGGGACUGAGAUACGGCCCAGACUCGUACGGGAGGCAGCAGUGGGGAAUAUUGCACAAUGGGCGGAAGCCUGAUGCAGCAACGCCGCGUGCGGGAUGACGGCCUUCGGGUUGUAAACCGCUUUCGCCUGUGACGAAGCGUGAGUGACGGUAAUGAGUAAAGAAGCACCGGCUAACUACGUG
rnacentral:rRNA from 1 species